rnacentral:misc_RNA from 1 species
CUGCGGAAGGAUCAUUACUGGGUAAAAGGCUUCUAGCCUCCAACCCCACCCUCUGUAACCGCGGCCCGGAUUCGGCGCCUGGCGGGGGACCCCUCUGUUCGCGGAGGCCCCUCGCCUGCCGGAAUCAGCCAACACUGCCUUGGAAAUUGAAGUCUGAGAAAAUUAAUUAAUUAAAUAAAACUUUCAACAACGGAUCUCUUGGUUCUGGCAACGAUGAAGAACGCAGCGAAAUGCGAUAAGUAAUGUGAAUUGCAGAAUUCAGUGAAUCAUCGAAUCUUUGAACGCACAUUGCGCCCCCUGGUAUUCCGGGGGGCACACCUGUUCGAGCGCCAUUUUCACCAUCGAGCCCUGCUCGGAGUUGGGUCUCGUCCUUGCGGACGGGCCCGAAACCUGUGGGCGCCUCCGUCCGGCCCUGAGCGUAGCAAGAGAA